GACGAACGCUGGCGGCGUGCUUAACACAUGCAAGUCGAACGGAAAGGUCUUGUUUGCAGGGUACUCGAGGGGCGAACGGGUGAGUAACACUUGGGUGAUUUGCCCUCCACUUGGGGAUACGCCUGGGAAACUGGGACUAGUACCGGAUAGGAGCGAUGUUUAGUGUGAUGGUUGGAAAGUUUUUUCGGUUUAGGAUGAGCUUGCGGCCCAUCUGCUUGUUGGUGGGGUAAUGGGCUACCAAGGCGGCGACGGGUAGGCGGCCUGAGAGGGUGGACGGACAGCUUGGGACUGAGAGACAGCCCAGACUCCUACGGGAGGCAGCAAGGAGGGAUAAUGCACGAUGGGCGGGAGCCUGAUGGAGCGAGGCCUCGUGGGGGAUGACUGCCUUCUGGUUGUAAGCACCGUUCGCUAGGGACGAAACUUUUUAAGGCGGUACCUAGAUAAGAAGCCCCGGCUAACUUCGUG
rnacentral:rRNA from 1 species